AAAUUAUUAAUAUAUAUUAAUUAUUUGGGACAAGCGCUUAUAUAUUUUUGAAAAUUUUUCGAUUUUCUGAUUUACUCCUCUUAGAAGGCUAAUAUUGAAAAUAACUUUUUUAAAGUUCCUACUUGUUUUAAAUAUAUCCUUAGGAGUUAAAUUCUGUUAAUGAACUGUUAACAUAGCUGCUAUCUUAUAAAAUUACUAUUUUGCCUUUUCUAAUAUAUCCUUCUAUUAUUACCGACUUUUCUUAUUUGUUCNAAUAGAAAAUAUUGGUCAUGGUAUAAGGGUAUAUUUGAAAAGACCAAAAAUCAAAAUACUUUGUGUCCUUAACUUAAUGAACUGUUAACAUAGCUGCUAUCUUAUAAAAUUACUAUUUUGCCUUUUCUAAUAUAUCCUUCUAUUAUUACCGACUUUUCUUAUUUGUUCUUAAGUUAAGGACACAAAGUAUUUUGAUUUUUGGUCUUUUCAAAUAUACCCUUAUACCAUGACCAAUAUUUUCUAUUUGCCCUUAAGUUAAGGGCAAAAAAGAUAUUUUGAUUUUUUUUUAACUCUGAUAGAUAUUUAACUUAUUAUAUUUAAUCCAAAUUAAUUUAACAGAUGGUAAUUAUAGGGGUAUUUUUUUAGAAUAAUAGAAGAAUAUAUGAGGGGUAUAAUGGAAAGAAAAAAAAAAUAUAGAAAUAAAUGAGAUAUUUUCAAAGUUUUAAGAAAUAUAUUGGUAAUUAUCCCUUAAAAAAAAUGUUACUUAUAGAAGUUUGAUAAACCCAUGUGGACGCAAAUUAAAUAGAAAAAAAUCAAUCAUGCUAGGAAUUUGUUAUCGAUUGAAAUCAAUAGCUUAUAUUUUGUACCAUGUUAAAUAAUGAAACAACUAUUUUUUUCAAAAUCUUAAGUUAGCAAAAAAUAGUAUUUUUUAUAUUUUUAUGUUUAACAGGCAUUACCAGCAUAUCAGUAAUUGGAAAAAAUGUAUAGAACUCAUUUGAAAUAUGAACCAUUUUAAACUCAUAUAAAAAAUAGUAAUUUUUAUAUUUUUAUGUUUUCAAAUAUGUCCAUGCCGUUAGAAAAUUUUAGUUAAUCAUAGAUUAAAUACUUAAUUCUGGUUAGUUUUUGACAUUUAUAUCUCUCUCAUAUUAUACUAUUAUGAUUUUUUGAGAGACAUUUAUAAUAGCAAAAUUGAAAAUAUAAACGGUUUUCUAACAAUAACAAAUCAGAGGAACAUAUUUAAAAAUUUUAAAACUUUUGCAGAGACAACAUAUGAAAGUUGAAUUUUGUAGGAAUAUGUUUGUUAUUCACUAUAUCUGCAGAGAUCUGUACAAAAUUAACCCUAUAAAUUAUGUCAUUUCACUUCUAUCAAAUGAUAGGUAUUUCAGACGAAACAAAAACAGAACCACGAGAA
rnacentral:lncRNA from 1 species